rnacentral:rRNA from 1 species
GACGAACGCUGGCGGCGUGCCUAAUACAUGCAAGUCGAGCGAAGUUUUUCUGGUGCUUGCACCGGAAAAACUUAGCGGCGAACGGGUGAGUAACACGUAAAGAACCUGCCUCAUAGACUGGGACAACUAUUGGAAACGAUAGCUAAUACCGGAUAACAGCAUUAACUGCAUGGUUGAUGUUUAGAAGUUGGUUUUGCUAACACUAUGAGAUGGCUUUGCGGUGCAUUAGCUAGUUGGUGGGGUAAAGGCCUACCAAGGCGACGAUGCAUAGCCGACCUGAGAGGGUGAUCGGCCACACUGGGACUGAGACACGGCCCAGACUCCUACGGGAGGCAGCAGUAGGGAAUCUUCCGCAAUGGGCGAAAGCCUGACGGAGCAACGCCGCGUGAGUGAAGAAGGAUUUCGGUUCGUAAAGCUCUGUUGUUAGGGAAGAAUGAUUGUGUAGUAACUAUACACAGUAGAGACGGUACCUAACCAGAAAGCCACGGCUAACUACGUG